rnacentral:rRNA from 1 species
AGCAGCCGCGGUAAUUCCAGCUCCAAUAGCGUAUAUUAAAGUUGUUGCAGUUAAAAAGCUCGUAGUUGAAUUUCGGGAUCAAAUUGUCGGUCGUGCCUCGGUACGCACUGGUAUUAUUGGUUCCUACCUUCUGAAGAACCGCGAUGUCAUUAAUUUGGUGUCGUGGGGAAUCAGGACUGUUACUUUGAAAAAAUUAGAGUGUUUAAAGCAGGCUUACGCUUGAAUACAUUAGCAUGGAAUAAUGAAAUAGGACGUUUGAUUCUAUUUUGUUGGUUUCUAGGAUUGACGUAAUGAUUAAUAGGGAUAGUUGGGGGCAUUAGUAUUCAAUUGUCAGAGGUGAAAUUCUUGGAUUUAUUGAAGACUAACUACUGCGAAAGCAUUUGCCAAGGAUGUUUUCAUUAAUCAAGAACGAAAGUUAGGGGAUCGAAGACGAUCAGAUACCGUCGUAGUCUUAACCAUAAACUAUGCCGACUAGGGAUCGGAUGAUGUUAAUUUUUAAUGUACUCAUUCGGCGCC